UGUGGGAGCGAGCUUGCUCGCGAUAGCGGUGGGUCUGUUUGCAUCGGUGGUGAAUGUGCAAUCGUCAUCGCGAGCAAGCUCGCUCCCACA
rnacentral:misc_RNA from 1 species